GACGAACGCUGGCGGCGUGCUUAACACAUGCAAGUCGAGCGGUAAGGCCCUUUCGGGGGUACACGAGCGGCGAACGGGUGAGUAACACGUGGGUGACCUGCCCUCAGCUCUGGGAUAAAGCCUGGGAAACCGGGUCUAAUACCGGAUAUGACUCCAUGACGCAUGUUGUGGGGUGGAAAGCCUUGUGCGGCUGAGGAUGGGCCCGCGGCCUAUCAGCUUGUUGGUGGGGUGAUGGCCUACCAAGGCGACGACGGGUAGCCGGCCUGAGAGGGCGACCGGCCACACUGGGACUGAGACACGGCCCAGACUCCUACGGGAGGCAGCAGUGGGGAAUCUUGCGCAAUGGGCGAAAGCCUGACGCAGCGACGCCGCGUGA
rnacentral:rRNA from 1 species